GACGAACGCUGGCGGCGUGCUUAACACAUGCAAGUCGAACGGUAAGGCCCUUCGGGGUACACGAGUGGCGAACGGGUGAGUAACACGUGGGUGAUCUGCCCUGCACUUCGGGAUAAGCCUGGGAAACUGGGUCUAAUACCGGAUAGGACCACUGCCUGCAUGGGCGGUGGUGGAAAGCUUUUGCGGUGUGGGAUGGGCCCGCGGCCUAUCAGCUUGUUGGUGGGGUGAUGGCCGACCAAGGCGACGACGGGUAGCCGGCCUGAGAGGGUGACCGGCCACACUGGGACUGAGAUACGGCCCAGCCUCCUACGGGAGGCAGCAGUGGGGAAUAUUGCACAAUGGGCGCAAGCCUGAUGCAGCGACGCCGCGUGAGGGAUGACGGCCUUCGGGUUGUAAACCUCUUUCAGCACCGACGAAGCGCAAGUGACGGUAGGUGCAGAAGAAGGACCGGCCAACUACGUGCCAGCAGCCGCCGUAA
rnacentral:rRNA from 1 species